CUGAGGUACAGUACUUAAGAUAACCCUGUGAAGGCUGAGAUUGAUAUUUGAAAUUCACAACUGAUCUUGGAGCCUGGUACAGCAGUCAUGGAUUUGUUCAUGUGUGGAUGUGAUGGAACUGAAGUCGCUAGGUUCAUGCUACCUGGAACAUGAGACUGACAAAUAGAGGAGCACUGAGUCAAAUGAAUCUCGGAGAAAUGGAGCUGGAAGAAAACUGGAGAAUGAAAGAAAAGAUAUACGCAAAGUGGAUUCUAAUCAUAGAGUUUCAUUCUUGUUGCCCAGGCUGGAGUGCAAUGGUGUGAUCUUGGCUCACCGCAACCUUGACCUCCUAGGUUCAAGUGAUUCUCCUGUCUCAGUCUCCUGAGUAGCUAGUAUUACAGGCAUGCACCACUAUGCCCGGCUAAUUUUGUAUUUUUAGUUGAGAUGGGGUUUCUCCAUGUUGGUCAGGCUGGUCUCGAACUCCCGACCUCAGGUGAUCCACCUGCUUCAGCCUCCCAAAGUGCUGGGAUUACAGGUGUGAGCAGCCGUGCCCUGCUGAAACUUAUUUGUUUGAGCAAUAA
rnacentral:lncRNA from 1 species